rnacentral:rRNA from 1 species
AUGUCGACUUCAGACAGCAGAGUCAGUGAUACAAGAAGCGCCCAAGACUCAUCCUCCAUUUCAACGGGCGGUAGCGCAGAACAACAAGGCUUGAGUAGCGCCAUAGAAAUAAUGGACAAACUAAAUGCUAUUCGUGCUGAGCUUGUUGAUGCCGAGGAGAAACAAUGUGCUGUUGAGGAACAACUUUUUGGCGAACCGAUUGCACCUGCUGCUGGCAGUGGCACUCCUUUUAUAGAGAAACCAUUUGGCACUGAAUGCGCACCUCGUCAAAAACGCUAUCUAACCAGUGCCGGAAUACCUCGACAUUUGUCUUCCAUUGUCGUCUCCAUUGCUUUGUUUGAUGGAGAAAAGAUGUUAUUUGCUUGCUCGGGCAUACCUCUACCGUACGGAAGAACUGCAUUACGGCUGACAAGAUUUGUGACCUCUGCACGUUUGGCUACUGCAUAUACCUCUAAUAGAAACAGAGAUGAUGAUUUGAGGGUCAAAGUGCGCCUUCCUGAUAACACUACUACCGGCGGGUUGUUGGGUCUAUAUGAUCAACAAAUUGCAAUUGUCACGACCGCGGACCUCCCAUCUCUCCAUGAAGUUGAUCUGAAUCCUCAGCAUCGAAAGCCCUCUUGUGGUGAUCCAAUACUAGCUGUCGGACGUGCCUUCACGUCAGGCAGUUUGAUGGCUGCGUCAGGCAGUUUGGCCGCACAUGAGUCUCAGAGUAGAAAGCCUUCCAUGUGGGUUUCUGAAGAUCCGUUGACAGAGGCUGUAUUUGGAGGGCCAAUUAUAGGAACUGGUGGUAGAUUUCUUGGGAUGAGCCUUCCUAUUGACGAUUCAGAUGAUUUUACUGGAAGAAAUGUCAUGUUCCUUCGAGGGGUGAUACUUCUUAAUCGCUUGAGGCAUUUUGGGAUACUCAAUCCUAAAAAACUCGACUUCCGUGGUUAUUCGUUGCCUUCAGAUGUAUUCUGUGCAAGCCCUUCAGGAUUUAGGAGAGAGAUUAACCGUCUGAAAUCUCUUGGCUAUCCCAUGGCACCACCACUUGUGCUUGAAUUCAAAGGGGAAUUGCUUAAUAGAUUUGAAGGAUAUUUUGGUGGUUUACUUGCUCUGGAAGGGUAUCCUUAUGAUGAUCCACCCUUUGUUCAUGAGAAUCGUGUCUGGGGGCAAUUUCCAAAUGAAGUUGUUUCUGAUAUAUCCCAACGUGUUGUCUCACUCAAAUCAUUCCGUGGACAUGUGAGGUAUUUUGCAUGCACAGGGUUGCUUAUAUGGUGGCCUGAAAGUAGUGGGGCAUGCUCUGUCAUUCUCACUUCAGCCAGUUUGGUUAGAGGUCAUGAUAAUGAGUACUAUAUUGAUAGCUUGAGGUGUGGUGAUUCUGGGGUUGGAUGUCAUGAUGAUGAUGACCAUAUUACGAACUUGAGGAUUGAGGUGUCUCUCCCACAAAAUAGGACCGUCACUGGGACAUUGGAAUGGUAUAACGUGGACUACAACAUAGCUAUUGUCAGUGUUGGGGAUUAUGUCUGUGCUUGUCGCCCAGAAAAUAUUUUUAAUGCGGUGCAGAUGCCAUCUCGAAAUGCUCUACCUACUUUGGGUCGAAGAAAAUUCCCUUCAUUGGUUGGAAAAGUAGUAGCCAUAGGGUUUAACACUCAAAAAAGAUUAUUAAUGGCCUCAAUGGGAGAAGUGAAGCAGAGAAACAAGGGCAUCAAACUUGACUCAGUUGGUGAAGUGAAGCGGAGAAGCAAGCGUAUCAAAUUACUUGGUGAAGUGAAGCAGCGAAACAAUGGUAGUAUCAAACUUGACUGCAGAUAUCUUAAACUGUCCACUUGUAAAAUCAACAAGGCUGGGAUUGGAGGGCCUCUUAUUAACUUGGGUGGGAGUUUUGUUGGUAUGAACUUCUAUGAUGGAAGUGAAGAAACUCCUUUCCUGCCAAGGAGUAAGAUUGUUGAAGUUCUGAAGAGAGUGGUUGGUCUCUCACUACCAUCAAGAUCAUUGAAUGGUCGUCCUGAGCACAUAGAAUAUGGUGCUCGAGGCAGGACAAGGAAAAAUAGGUGGCCUGUGCCCGAGCCAUAUUGGUACCAUGGUCUACUUGAGCUGGAUAUGUACCAUCUCCCGGAGUUUCGUGGAAGGACUCUGCUUUAG